rnacentral:rRNA from 1 species
GACGAACGCUGGCGGCGUGCCUAACACAUGCAAGUCGAGCGAGAGUAGUUCUUCGGAACAAAGCUAGCGGCGGACGGGCUAGUAACAAGUUGGCAACCUGCCUCAUAGAGGGGAAUAGCCUCCCGAAAGGGAGGUUAAUACCGCAUAAGAUUGCAGCUUCGCAUGAAGUAGCAAUUAAAGGAGCAAUUGGCUAUGAGAUGGGCCCGCGGCGCAUUAGCUAGUUGGUGAGGGAACGGCACACCAAGGCGACGAUGAGUAGGCGAACUGGAGGGGUGAUCGGCCACAUUGGGACUGAGACUCGGCCCAGACUCCUACGGGAGGCAGCAGUGGGGAAUAUUGCACAAUGGGGGAAACCCUGAUGCAGCAACGCCGCGUGAGUGAUGACGGCCUUCGGGUUGUAAAGCUCUGUCUUCAGGGACGAUAAUGACGGUACCCGAGGAAGAAGCAACGGCUAACUACGUGCCAGCCGCCGCCGUAACAC